AUUGAACGCUGGCGGCAGGCCUAACACAUGCAAGUCGAGCGGAUGAAGGGAGAUUGCUCCUGGAUUCAGCGGCGGACGGGUGAGUAAUGCCUAGGAAUCUGCCUGGUAGUGGGGGAUAACGUCCGGAAACGGGAGCUAAAACCGCAUACGCCUUGCGGGAGAAAGUGGAGGAGCGUCGGCCCCCACGCUAUCAGAAUAGCCUAGGCCGGAUUAGCUGGUUGGGGGGGUAAAGGCCUACCAAGGCGAAGAUCCGUAACUGGUCUGAGAGGAUGAUCAGUCACCUGGAAACUGGGACAGGUCCCAACCCCCUACGGGAGGCAGCAGGGGGGAAUUUGGGAAAAGGGGCGAAAGCCGGAUCCAGCCUGGCGGGUGGUGGGAAGAAGGUCUUCGGUUUGUAAAUCAUUUUAGGGUGGGGGAAAGGAAAGUAGGUUAUUACUUUGCUGUUUUGACUUGACCGCCAGAAUAAGCACCGGCUAACUGCGU
rnacentral:rRNA from 1 species